UACGUAGGGGGGCAAGCGUUGUCCGGAUUUAUUGGGCGUAAAGAGCGUGUAGGCGGUUUGGUAGGUCCGCUGUGAAAACUCGAGGCUCAACCUCGAGACGCCGGUGGAAACCAUCAGGCUAGAGUCCGGAAGAGGAGAGUGGAAUUCCUGGUGUAGCGGUGGAAUGCGCAGAUAUCAGGAGGAACACCGGUGGCGAAGGCGGGUCUCUGGGCCGAUACUGACGCUGAGGAGCGAAAGCGUGGGGAGCGAACAGG
rnacentral:rRNA from 1 species